rnacentral:rRNA from 1 species
CGGACGGGUGAGUAACGCGUGGGGAACCUGCCCUGUACCGGGGGAUAGCAGCCGGAGACGGCUGAUAAUACCGCAUAAGCGCACGAAUGUCGCAUGACAUGGUGUGAAAAACUCCGGUGGUAUAGGAUGGACCCGCGUCUGAUUAGCCAGUUGGUGGGGUAAAAGCCUACCAAAGCGAAGAUCAGUAGCCGAGUUGAGAGACUGACCGGCCACAUUGGGACUGAGACACGGCCCAGACUCCUACGGGAGGCAGCAGCC